UACAGAGGUCUCAAGCGUUGUUCGGAUUCAUUGGGCGUAAAGGGUGCGUAGGCGGCGCGGUAAGUCGGGUGUGAAAUCUUGGAGCUUAACUCCGAAACUGCAUUCGAUACUGCCGUGCUUGACGACUGGAGAGGAGACUGGAAUUUACGGUGUAGCGGUGAAAUGCGUAGAUAUCGUAAGGAAGACCAGUGGCGAAGGCGGGUCUCUGGACAGUUCCUGACGCUGAGGCACGAAGGCCAGGGGAGCAAACGGG
rnacentral:rRNA from 1 species